rnacentral:rRNA from 1 species
AGAAUGAACGCUGGCGGCGUGCUUUACACAUGCAAGUCGAGCGAGGCGGGUAGCAAUACCCAGUCGAGCGGCGAACGGGUGAGUAACGCGUGGAUAACCUGCCCAGAGGUGGGGGAUAACCCGGGGAAACUCGGGCUAAUACCGCAUGAUACCGAGAGGUCAAAGGGGGCUCGCAAGAGCUUCCGCCAUUGGAGGGGUCCGCGUUCGAUUAGCUAGUUGGUAGGGUAAUGGCCUACCAAGGCGACGAUCGAUAGCCGGCCUGAGAGGGUGAUCGGCCACACUGGAACUGAGACACGGUCCAGACUCCUACGGGAGGCAGCAGUGGGGAAUUUGCGCAAUGGGCUAACGCCUGACGCAGCAACGCCGCGUGGAGGAUGAAGGUCCUUGGAUUGUAAACUCCUGUCAGCAGGAAAAGCGAACUACGGUUAAUACCCGUGGAGUUGAUUGUACCUGCAGAGGAACGCCCGGCUAACUCGUGUGCCUAGCACGCCG